GGUGGCUCAGCAGUAGAGCGCUUGCCUCGCAUGCAGGAGACCAUAGGUUCGAUUCCUCAGCACCA
rnacentral:tRNA from 1 species